rnacentral:rRNA from 1 species
GUCCAUCAUUCAGUUGGGCACGUCUAGCGAGACUGCAGGUAAUAAACCGGAGGAAGGUGGGGAGUGACGUCAAAUCAUCAUGCCCCUUAUGACCUGGGCUACACACGUGCUACAAUGGUUGGUACAACGAGUUGCGAGUCGGUGACGGCGAGCUAAUCUCUUAAAGCCAAUCUCAGUUCGGAUUGUAGGCUGCAACUCGCCUACAUGAAGUCGGAAUCGCUAGUAAUCGCGGAUCAGCACGCCGCGGUGAAUACGUUCCCGGGCCUU